AUUGAACGCUAGCGGGAUGCUUUACACAUGCAAGUCGAACGGAGUGGCGGACGGGUGAGUAAUAUAUCGGAACGUGCCCAGUAGCGGGGGAUAACUACUCGAAAGAGUGGCUAAUACCGCAUGCUAUUGGAGCGGCCCAUAGCGGAUUAGCUAGUUGGUGGGGUAAAGGCUCACCAAGGCAACGAUCCGUAGAUGGUUUGAGAGGACGACCAGCCACACGGGGACGGAGACACGGCCCAGACGCCAACGGGAGGUAGCCGGGGGGAAGUUUGGACAAUGUGGGAAACCCUGAUACAGCCAUGCCGCGUGUAUGAGGAAGGCCUGCCGGUUGUAAAGUACUCUGGGCGGACAAGCGGUAUCUGCAGCAUAAGCACCGUCUAACUCCGUGCCAGCAGCCGCGGUAAUAC
rnacentral:rRNA from 1 species